AUUGAACGCUGGCGGCAUGCCUUACACAUGCAAGUCGAACGGUAACGCGGGGCAACCUGGCGACGAGUGGCGAACGGGUGAGUAAUACAUCGGAACGUGCCCAGUAGUGGGGGAUAGCCCGGCGAAAGCCGGAUUAAUACCGCAUACGACCUACGGGUGAAAGCAGGGGAUCGCAAGACCUUGCGCCAUUGGAGCGGCCGAUGUCAGAUUAGGUUGUUGGUGGGGUAAAGGCCUACCAAGCCGACGAUCUGUAGCUGGUCUGAGAGGACGACCAGCCACACUGGGACUGAGACACGGCCCAGACUCCUACGGGAGGCAGCAGUGGGGAAUAUUGGACAAUGGGCGAAAGCCUGAUCCAGCAAUGCCGCGUGAGUGAUGAAGGCCUUAGGGUUGUAAAGCUCUUUUACCAGGGAUGAUAAUGACAGUACCUGGAGAAUAAGCUCCGGCUAACUCCGUGCCAGCAGCCGCGGUAAU
rnacentral:rRNA from 1 species